GGUACCAUGCCUGAGUGGUUAAAGGGUGAGAUUCAAGUUUUUCAGACAACUUAGACCGAACAAAGUGGUCUGGAACAUCCUCAUGGCGCGAGCCGCGUGGGUUCGAGCCCCACUGGUACCA